rnacentral:sRNA from 1 species
AAAUCAAUACAUUACUUAUACUAUGGUAAUGAUCAUACAAUUACCGUUAGAAAUGCUUACAGUAACGAACUCGAUUCUCAAUAAUAACAGUAAAAUGUUAAACUUCAAAACAUGUUGCUGAAAAUGCAUUAAAAUUUACCACAAAAAUUAGUACAACCAACUCGUUUUUUUUCUUCUUUGUGGUGUGUUUUUAUGUAAACAACCAAUGAUGAUUCAUACACCAAUUAUAUUUUUUGCGGCCCAUUUGACGCUUGCGUCAAUAUGAUUUCCUGUCUUUCUUGAGAUGCUUUCAAGUUUACCUACCCCUUGUUUGUUGUUGGACCUUGAACGCAGAAAAUGACAGACGGCAAGAAUAAUCGAGAACACCAGGCCGCUUAUGAGGAUAAAGAAAACCCCAGCCAAGUUACUCAGCGAUAACGAUUUCUUCUUUUUAUUGCCCUGUGUGUAAAACAGAAAUGAGUUGGUGUUGUAUAUAAGUAUACACAACUUGAAGUAACAGAUAGAUAUACUUUUAUCAUAAUGAUAAAGCUACAGGAGAUUGCUUUAAAAAAAUAAUGCAAGGACUGGGAACUUUUGUGAUUCUCACCUGGUUAUCUUCCUGAACUCCACACUCUCCUUUAUCUAUCCACCAUCGUCUCUUCAUUUUAAUCAAAGACCCAUUCUCUUUAAGUUGAAGUAUUGCAAUGGACAUUUUUUCACUAUAUUGAAGAAUAUUUGUAUCUUUUACGAAAAAGAUUGAAAAAGUGUAUGU